AGAGUUUGAUCCUGGCUCAGGACGAACGCUGGCGGCGCGCCUAACACAUGCAAGUCGAGCGAGAACCAGGGCUUCGGCCCUGGGGACAGCGGCGAACGGGUGAGUAACACGUGGAUAACCUGCCCUCGGCACCGGAAUAGCCCGGGGAAACCCGGAUUAAUGCCGGAUAGCCCCACAUCCCUGCGGGGAACGUGGGAAAAGGUAGCUUCGGCCUCUGGCCGAGGAUGGGUCCGCGGUGGAUUAGCUUGUUGGCGGGGUAACGGCCCACCAAGGCGACGAUCCAUAGCUGGUCUGAGAGGACGAUCAGCCACACUGGGACUGAGACACGGCCCAGACUCCUACGGGAGGCAGCAGUGGGGAAUCUUGCGCAAUGGGCGAAAGCCUGACGCAGCGACGCCGCGUGCGGGAAGAAGGCCUUCGGGUUGUAAACCGCUUUCAGGAGGGACGAAGCCACUCGGGUGAAUAGCCCAGAGGGUGACGGUACCUCCAGAAGAAGCCCCGGCUAACUACGUGCCAGCAGCCGCGGUAAUACGUAGGGGGCAAGCGUUGUCCGGAUUCAUUGGGCGUAAAGAGCGUGUAGGCGGCCAGGUAGGUCGGUUGUGAAAACUGGAGGCUCAACCUUCAGACGUCGACCGAAACCAUCUGGCUAGAGUCCGGGAGAGGAGAGUGGAAUUCCUGGUGUAGCGGUGAAAUGCGCAGAUAUCAGGAAGAACACCCGUGGCGAAAGCGGCUCUCUGGAACGGUACUGACGCUGAGACGCGAAAGCGUGGGGAGCGAACAGGAUUAGAUACCCUGGUAGUCCACGCCGUAAACGAUGGGCGCUAGGUGUGGGAGGUGUCGACUCCUUCCGUGCCGCAGCUAACGCAUUAAGCGCCCCGCCUGGGGAGUACGGCCGCAAGGCUAAAACUCAAA
rnacentral:rRNA from 1 species